GAUGAACGCUGGCGGCGUGCUUAACACAUGCAAGUCGAACGGGAAUGUUUCGCUGAUGCGAUUUCGGUCAAAUCUUGAAGCAUUUUAGUGGCGGACGGGUGAGUAACGCGUGGGUAACCUGCCCUGUACAGGGGACAACAGUUGGAAACGACUGCUAAUACCGCAUAAGCGCACAGCUUCGCAUGAAGCAGUGUGAAAAACUCCGGUGGUACAGGAUGGACCCGCGUCUGAUUAGAUGGUUGGUGAGGUAACGGCCCACCAAGUCAACGAUCAGGAGCCGGCCUGAGAGGGCGAACGGCCACAGUGGGACUGAGACACGGCCCAAACUCCUACGGGAGGCAGCAGUGGGGAACAUUGCACAAUGGGGGAAACCCUGAUGCAGCGACGCCGCGUGAGUGAAGAAGUAUUUCGGUAUGUAAAGCUCUAUCAGCAGGGAAGAAAACAAUGACGGUACCUGACUAAGAAGCCCCGGCUAACUACGUGCCAGCCGCCGCGGUAA
rnacentral:rRNA from 1 species